CCCCAGGAACUACAAGCCCAGGCUUAAAACCCAAAGGACUUGGCGGUGCCUCACACCCACCUAGAGGAGCCUGUUCUAGAACCGAUAAUCCACGUUUUACCCAACCUUCCCUGGCAUUUCAGCCUAUAUACCGCCGUCGCCAGCCAACCCCCUGAGGCCCACUAGUUGGCAAAAUAGAUAACAUCUAACACGUCAGGUCGAGGUGUAGCACAUGAGAAGGAAGAAAUGGGCUACAUUUUCUGAUAGAAAACACGGA
rnacentral:rRNA from 1 species